rnacentral:rRNA from 1 species
ACGCUCGACACCUACGGGGGCAGCAGUGGGGAAUAUUGCACAAUGGGGGAAACCCUGAUGCAGCGACGCCGCGUGGAGGAAGAAGGUCUUCGGAUUGUAAACUCCUGUUGUUGGGGAAAAAGAGGAUGGUACCCAACAAGGAAGUGACGGCUAACUACGUGCCAGCAGCCGGGUAAUCUGAGCGGGCUGGCAAGGC